rnacentral:rRNA from 1 species
GAUGAACGCUGGCGGCGUGCUUAACACAUGCAAGUCGAACGGGAAAUAUUUCAUUGAGACUUCGGUGGAUUUGAUUUAUUUCUAGUGGCGGACGGGUGAGUAACGCGUGGGUAACCUGCCUUAUACAGGGGGAUAACAGUCAGAAAUGGCUGCUAAUACCGCAUAAGCGCACAGAGCUGCAUGGCUCAGUGCGAAAAACUCCGAUGGUAUAAGAUGGACCCGCGUUGGAUUAGCUUGUUGGUGAGGUAACGGCCCACCAAGGCGACGAUCCAUAGCCGGCCUGAGAGGGUGAACGGCCACAUUGGGACUGAGACACGGCCCAGACUCCUACGGGAGGCAGCAGUGGGGAAUAUUGCACAAUGUGGGAAACCCUGAUGCAGCGACGCCGCGUGAAGGAAGAAGUAUCUCGGUAUGUAAACUUCUAUCAGCAGGGAAGAUAGUGACGGUACCCGACUAAGAAGCCCCGGCUAACUACGUGCCAGCAGCCGCAGUAA